CAGGGAGACAACAAAAUGUUUAAUAUUAUUAUUUUGUCACCUUAGGUCGAUCGGUAUCUCACGUUCUUAAUUUGUUAAGAAUUUCAUUUCCUAAGUUUUUCUAGGUCACACCCAUUAUUUUUCCUGGGCCAUUAGCUCAGGUGGUUAGAGCGCACCCCUGAUAAGGGUGAGGUCCCUGGUUCAAGUCCAGGAUGGCCCAUAUCUCUAUGUUGGGGGUAUAGCUCAGUUGGUAGAGCGCCUGCUUUGCAAGCAGGAUGUCAGCGGUUCGAGUCCGCUUACCUCCACUGAUUACCACCUCUUCCAUAACCGGUAGAAAGGAAAUGUUUUGAGUUGUGAUCAUUAUUCUGAACGAAUCUAGCUUCCUAAUGAAAUCAUUAAGAUGCUGGACUCAUUGAAUUAAUUUCAUUGUUUUCAGAGAACCUUGACAACUGCAUAGAUUAUUUUUAAAGACAAUAAGCAUCUUUAACGAUGCAGAUUUAUUAUUUGUGCGAAUGCAUUAAUAACAAUUCUAUUAAGCUGAUGCUUCAAUUUUUGAAGUUAUU
rnacentral:tRNA from 1 species